rnacentral:rRNA from 1 species
AAUAGAUACCCAGUAGUCCACGCCGUAAACGAUGAGUGCUAAGUGUUAGAGGGCUUCCACCCUUUAGUGCUGCAGCUAACGCAUUAAGCACUCCGCCUGGGGAGUACGGCCGCAAGGCUGAAACUCAAAGGAAUUGACGGGGGCCCGCACAAGCGGUGGAGCAUGUGGUUUAAUUCGAAGCAACGCGAAGAACCUUACCAGGUCUUGACAUCCUUCGCUACCUCUAGAGAUAGAGGGUUCCCCUUCGGGGGACGGAGUGACAGGUGGUACAUGGUUGUCGUCAGCUCGUGUCGUGAGAUGUUGGGUUAAGUCCCGCAACGAGCGCAACCCUUGACCUUAGUUGCCAGCAUUCAGUUGGGCACUCUAAGGUGACUGCCGGUGACAAACCGGAGGAAGGUGGGGAUGACGUCAAAUCAUCAUGCCCCUUAUGACCUGGGCUACACACGUGCUACAAUGGAUGGUACAAAGGGUCGCGAAACCGCGAGGUGGAGCCAAUCCCAAAAAACCAUUCUCAGUUCGGAUUGUAGGCUGAAACUCGCCUAC